rnacentral:rRNA from 1 species
GAUGAACGCUAGCGGGAGGCCUAAUACAUGCAAGUCGAGCGGUAGAGUGACUUCGGUUGCUUGAGAGCGGCGCACGGGUGAGUAACGCGUACAUGACCUACCUUUAAGACUGGGAUAGCCCUGGGAAACUGGGAUUAAUACCGGAUGUGAUAAUACGUAUAGAGAUGUAUUAUUAAAGUUGAGGCGCUUAGAGAUGGAUGUGCGUCUGAUUAGCUAGUUGGUAGGUAACGGCCUACCAAGGCUACGAUCAGUAGGGGGCUGAGAGCGUGGCCCCCCANACGGGUACUGAGACACGGACCCGACUCCUACGGGAGGCAGCAGUAAGGAAUAUUGGUCAAUGGACGAAGUCUGAACCAGCCAUCCCGCGUGCAGGAUGACUGCCCUAUGGUUGUAAACUGCUUUUAGCAGAGACGAAACGCCUUCAUUUAUGAGGGUCUGACGGCAUCUGCAGAAUAAGCACCGGCUAACUCCGUGCCAGCAGCCG